CCUACGGGAGGCAGCAGUGGGGAAUAUUGCACAAUGGGGGAAACCCUGAUGCAGCGACGCCGCGUGAGUGAAGAAGUAUUUCGGUAUGUAAAGCUCUAUCAGCAGGGAAGAAAAUGACGGUACCUGACUAAGAAGCCCCGGCUAACUACGUGCCAGCAGCCGCGGUAAUACGUAGGGGGCAAGCGUUAUCCGGAUUUACUGGGUGUAAAGGGAGCGUAGACGGCCAGACAAGUCAGAAGUGAAAGCCCAGGGCUCAACCCUGGGACUGCUUUUGAAACUGCCGGGCUGGAGUGAAGGAGAGGUAAGCGGAAUGCCUAGUGUAGCGGUGAAAUGCGUAGAUAUUAGGAGGAACACCAGUGGCGAAGGCGGCUUACUGGACUGUAACUGACGUUGAGGCUCGAAAGCGUGGGGAGCAAACAGGAUUAGAUACCCGAGUAGUC
rnacentral:rRNA from 1 species